GCUAAGGUAGCAUAAUCAUUUGUUAUUUAAUUGAUAACUGGAAUGAAAGGUUAAACUAACCUGCGGGGUUUGUAAGUUUAUGUGGGAGCUUAAAGUUAAGGUAAGAAUUCUUUAAUUUUCUAGGGGACGAUAAGACCCUAGAAGCUUGACGAUUGUGUGGUUAGUGGUAGAAGUUCAUUUGUUUUACUGGGGCGGUAUAAGUAAUUGAGCUAGUUAUUAGAUAGUAGAUCCUUAAAAUAUAGAGAAAAUGGGUAAGUUACUCUAGGGAUAA
rnacentral:rRNA from 1 species